GCCGCUAUAGCUCAGUUGGUAGAGCGUGUGACUUGUAAUCACAAGGUCUCCGGUUCAAUUCCGGAUGGUGGCU
rnacentral:tRNA from 1 species